rnacentral:rRNA from 1 species
AUACGGGGGGUGCAAGCGUUAUUCGGAUUUAUUGGGCGUAAAGAGCGCGUAGGCGGCUUGGUAAGUCAGAUGUGAAAGCCCGGGGCUCAACCCCGGAAGUGCAUUUGAAACUAUCAGGCUUGAGUAUGGGAGAGGGAAGUGGAAUUCCUGGUGUAGAGGUGAAAUUCGUAGAUAUCAGGAGGAACACCGGUGGCGAAGGCGACUUCCUGGACCAAUACUGACGCUGAGGCGCGAAGGCGUGGGAGCAAACAGGAUUAGAAACCCCAGUAGUCC